GACGAACGCUGGCGGCGCGCUUAACACAUGCAAGUCGAGCGGUAAGGCCCUUUCGGGGGUACGACGAGCGGCGAACGGGUGAGUAACACGUGGGUGACCUGCCCUCAGCUCUGGGAUAAGCCUGGGAAACUGGGUCUAAUACUGGAUAUGACUCCACGGUGCAUGUCGUGGGGUGGAAAGCCUUGUGCGGCUGAGGAUGGGCCCGCGGCCUAUCAGC
rnacentral:rRNA from 1 species